rnacentral:piRNA from 1 species
UUUAUUAAGAAAAAGGGGAAU